rnacentral:tRNA from 1 species
GCAUUAGUAGCUCAGCGUAGAGCGCCGGUCUUGUAAACCGGAUGCCAGGGGUUAAAUCCCCCUCUAAUGCU